rnacentral:rRNA from 1 species
AGAUUGAACGCUGGCGGCAUGCCUAACACAUGCAAGUCGAACGGGAGUAGCAAUACUCUAGUGGCGGACGGGUGAGGAAUACGUAGGAAUUUGCCCUUAAGUGGGGGAUAACCCGGGGAAACCCGGAUUAAUACCGCAUGACCUCGAAAGAGCAAAGUGGGGGAUCGCAAGACCUCACGCUUUUGGAGAAGCCUACGUCGGAUUAGCUAGUUGGUGAGGUAAUGGCUCACCAAGGCGACGAUCCGUAACUGGUCUGAGAGGAUGAUCAGUCACACCGGAACUGAGACACGGUCCGGACUCCUACGGGAGGCAGCAGUGGGGAAUAUUGGACAAUGGGCGCAAGCCUGAUCCAGCAAUGCCGCGUGUGUGAAGAAGGCCUUGGGUUGUAAGCACUUUAAGUUAGGGAA